AGCGAACGCUGGCGGCAGGCCUAACACAUGCAAGUCGAACGAAGUCUUCGGACUUAGUGGCGGACGGGUGAGUAACACGUGGGAACGUACCUUUUGGUUCGGAACAACUCAGGGGAACUUGAGCUAAUACCGGAUGAGCCCUUAGGGGGAAAGAUUUAUCGCCGAAAGAGCGGCCCGCGUUAGAUUAGCUAGUUGGUGAGGUAAAGGCUCACCAAGGCUACGAUCUAUAGCUGGUCUGAGAGGAUGAUCAGCCACACUGGGACUGAGACACGGCCCAGACUCCUACGGGAGGCAGCAGUGGGGAAUCUUGCGCAAUGGGCGAAAGCCUGACGCAGCCAUGCCGCGUGAAUGAUGAAGGUCUUAGGAUUGUAAAAUUCUUUUACCAGGGACGAUAAUGGCGGUACCUGGAGAAAAAGCCCCGGCUAACUUCGUGCCAGCAGCCGCCGUAAAAC
rnacentral:rRNA from 1 species